AGGGUCUACCUACAGUACCUACGACGUAUAUACGAUACGUUUUACGAACUAUUAAAAUAUAUAUAUGGAAAAUAUAUGGAAAUAUAUGGCGAGGAGAAAUUCACGUGAAGCACGCAAGCACCGUUUUUACGAACGUUGCAACACUUAUGCAUAAAGCAUAAAGCACUCCAAACAAUUCAUCUUAAUUAGACACCUGUCGAUCUUAAUUACACACCUGUGAAUCUCUUCUCGAAGAAGGAAAAUUUUACUAUAAUCUCAAUCGGAUCCGGGUGACGUCGAUUGAAAGCCCUAAAGGCCAUCAAAAUGAGACGAAGAGAAGAAAGAAAAAGAAAUCACGCAGUCACGCAUUUAUUUACCUGAACGACGAAAGGGCGGUGAAGUAAGAUAUGGCUGCCUGCACCAUCUUAAAAUUCAAAUUGACUAUAUAUCCCCAC